GGACUGAAGUCGUUGAUGCCACGCUUCCAGGAAAAGCCUCUAAGCUUCAGGUUACUGCUGACCGUACCCAAAACCGACACAGGUGGUCAGGUAGAGAAUACCAAGGCGCUUGAGAGAACUCGGGUGAAGGAACUAGGCAAAAUGGUGCCGUAACUUCGGGAGAAGGCACGCUCCUGACGGUGACCCCCUUGCGGGGUGAGCGGUCGGGAGUCGAAGAUACCAGGUGGCUGCGACUGUUUAUUAAAAACACAGCACUCUGCAAACACGAAAGUGGACGUAUAGGGUGUGACGCCUGCCCGGUGCCGGAAGGUUAAUUGAUGGGGUUAGCGCAAGCGAAGCUCUUGAUCGAAGCCCCGGUAAACGGCGGCCGUAACUAUAACGGUCCUAAGGUAGCGAAAUUCCUUGUCGGGUAAGUUCCGACCUGCACGAAUGGCGUAACGAUGGCCACACUGUCUCCACCCGAGACUCAGUGAAAUUGAAAUAGCUGUUAAGAUGCAGUUUACCCGCGGCUAGACGGAAAGACCCCGUGAACCUUUACUAUAGCUUCACAGUGGACUUUGACAUUGCUUGUGUAGGAUAGCUGGGAGGCUUUGAAGCGUGGACGCCAGUCUGCGUGGAGCCAAUCUUGAAAUACCAGCCUGGCACUGUUGAGGUUCUAACUCUGGACCGUAAUCCGGUUCGAGGACAUUGUGUGGUGGGUAGUUUGACUGGGGCGGUCUCCUCCCAAAGAGUAACGGAGGAGCACGAAGGUACCCUCAGCAUGGUCGGAAAUCAUGCAAUGAGCGCAAGAGUAGAAGGGUGCUUGACUGCGACACUGACACGUGGAGCAGGUACGAAAGUAGGUUCUAGUGAUCCGGUGGUUCUGUAUGGAAGGGCCAUCGCUCAACGGAUAAAAGGUACUCCGGGGAUAACAGGCUGAUACCGCCCAAGAGUUCACAUCGACGGCGGUGUUUGGCACCUCGAUGUCGGCUCAUCACAUCCUGGGGCUGAAGCCGGUCCCAAGGGUAUGGCUGUUCGCCAUUUAAAGUGGUACGCGAGCUGGGUUUAGAACGUCGUGAGACAGUUCGGUCCCUAUCUGCCGUGGGCGUUUGAGAUUUGAGAAGAGUUGCUCCUAGUACGAGAGGACCGGAGUGAACGAACCUCUGGUGUUCCGGUUGUCACGCCAGUGGCAUUGCCGGGUAGCUACGUUCGGACGGGAUAACCGCUGAAAGCAUCUAAGCGGGAAGCCCCCUUCAAGAUUAGAUCUCACUGGGACCUUGAGUCCCCUAAAGGGCCGUUUAAGACUAAGACGUUGAUAGGCGGGGUGUGUAAGCGCUGCGAGGCGUUGAGCUAACCCGUACUAAUUGCCCGUGAGGCUUGACC
rnacentral:rRNA from 1 species